GCCGUCUUAUCGCUGCCUGUGCAAACAGGGAGAGGAAAGUCCGGGCAGCAUAGAGCACCGUGCUACCUAACGGGUAGGCGGUCGUCUGGUGACGGGCGGCCGACAGCCAGUACCACAGAAAAUAUACCGCCCGGAGGAGCCUGCUCCGCCGGGUAAGGGUGAAAAGGUAGGGUAAGAGCCUACCGCCUGUCAGGCGACUGACAGGGCAGGGCAAACCUCACGGGCUGAAAGACCAAAUAAACCGGCGGUUUCCGCAAGGAACGAAGGGCUGCUCGCCCGGUGCCGGUGGGUAGGUCGUUAGAGACGGCAGGUGACUGCCGUUCUGGAUAAAUGAUAAGACCGCGACUUUCCUUCGGGAGUCAUCGCGGACAGAACCCGGCUUACAGGC
rnacentral:RNase_P_RNA from 1 species